GCACUUGAAUUGUUCCAGCUGUUUAUUUAUUCACAAUAAAAUUAUAUAUGAUUUAGUAUCAAAUUAGCUGGACUACGACAGCCGAUUUUGACUUCCUUUGUUUUUACUUUUUGAAUUGUACUCCAACUGCAGAUUAACCCUUCAUCCAGCGUUGCCAGGUUUUCACAGGAAAACUGCCCAAUCUGAUUAUUGGCGUGGUUCCCUCUGCCAAAAUUCACAUUUUAGGGGAUAAAUAUCAUGUUUUUGGAGUCGCUUAAACAAGCGGACAUGAAAAACAACCCCGUGGCAACAGUUUUAAAGUAGAGGACUUGGCAACACUGCCUUCAUCUUACUGCAAGAGUCUAAGAGGAUCAGUCUUUCUACUGCUACCGAGAUCUUUCUGAUUGUAUUUCUGUGAUUGUCGGGAACAUGGUGAGAACCCUGUAUGAUUUGUCUGAUCUGAAAGAGACCAGGUUUGGUCAGCCGAGUCCCAGACACGGUCUGAGCUUGUUGUGGUGGUUUGCUCAUAAUUGUGUUCAGAUUGACUCGAACGACCGUAUGACUGCACUGUACAACCCUGAAUAUGGAGAUUUUGGUUUUGAUCUAUUCUAUAAUCGGGAAAGACUUCUUCCUUACAGUAAUCGUCCUUACUAUGAGGUGGGCAACCUAAACUCCCCUGGAUCACUGCCUCGUUAUGUCACUGAGAAGUACACUGGAUAUUCAGACGACAGCAACAAAGAUCGCAUCAUUGUUUCCUUUAACUCACAUUGGAACAGUUUUGAGAAGAUUUAUGUGACACAGCACUCAGAUCAGGUGAACUUUGACCAGAACCACACCUACCUCAUUAGCCCUAAACUUCUGAAGGAAAUUAAAACAUUGAACCUUGAACACUUCUGCAGAAAAAUGAUAAGUAAUCAGAUAUAUCCUUUGAUGUAUGUCCCACAAAGUUCCAACAUACACUCAUACUCUACAUCUUCACUUCAGUCACUGCAGGGUCAAAGGUCACACCAAUCUAACUGGGAUGUCUGUGAUUGCAGCUCUGAGCUGAUUUGCGCACUGAUUUUUUGUGUACUGAUGCUCUUGUUUGCGCUUUUCCUCUUUCUUUUAAAAAUGGCAAAUAAAUUUUAGUGAACUCCUGUGUAUUUUUCCAGC